rnacentral:rRNA from 1 species
GACGAACGCUGGCGGCGUGCUUAACACAUGCGAGUCGAACGGAAAGGCCCUGCUUUUGUGGGGUGCUCGAGUGGCGAACGGGUGAGUAACACGUGAGUAACCUGCCCUUGACUUUGGGAUAACUUCAGGAAACUGGGGCUAAUACCGGAUAGGAGCUCCUGCUGCAUGGUGGGGGUUGGAAAGUUUCGGCGGUUGGGGAUGGACUCGCGGCUUAUCAGCUUGUUGGUGGGGUAGUGGCUUACCAAGGCUUUGACGGGUAGCCGGCCUGAGAGGGUGACCGGCCACAUUGGGACUGAGAUACGGCCCAGACUCCUAAGGGAGGCAGGAGUGGGGAAUAUUGCACAAUGGGCGGAAGCCUGAUGCAGCAACGCCGCGUGCGGGAAGACCGCCUUCGGGUUGUAAACCGCUUUCGCCUGUGACGAAGCGUGAGUGACGGUAAUGGGUAAAGAAGCACCGGCUAACUACGUG